rnacentral:tRNA from 1 species
UAAAUAAACAGCCUUAGUAGCUUAA